rnacentral:misc_RNA from 1 species
CUUUUUUUUUUAGUUCAAUCUUUUGUUCAUUCUCCAUGGUAAUAAUUCUGGCAAUUCAAAGCUCAUCUUUAAACUAGUACAUAAAAAAGGAUAUAAAAUACAAAUUUUACACCACAAACUCAAAAUGAGGCCACACCAUCUCUCAUGCCUUGCCUCCAUCCAGCAAAAAUGCAUUGGUGACACCUCCAUGAGCAAUUUUCUUGGUGAUCACCUUUACCGACAAGGAACUCUCAAUUGCUCCUACAAGGUUGUGCCCCCGCCAUCAGACAUAAGAGAUGCAGCAGCAGCAGCAGCAGUAGGAACAACUCCUGUUGAAACACCUGGUUUUGACAAAUGCAGGAGCGGUGCAAGAUAUUCACAAAAGGAGGAUACUGCAGCAACAACUUCAGAAUAAUUUUCAGGUGUUGCAGGGGCUGUUACUUCAACCAGUUGUAUGCCAGGGGUAACUGGCACAGCCUCAUCACCAUCUGUUGCAUGUAGUUUUAGCAUCUUAUUAACAGAUGACACAGACACAGUUAUCCGAGCACCCCUUUGGAAAUGGAAGGCAAAUCCCACUCUAAGCAACUCAUGAUCCAAUUUAUAGCCAAGCGCAUAAAAUAAGCGAAGCACAUUCUUGCUUGCUUUGCUUUCCACCAUAGUCCUCACCAGGACUGAGAUUUGCUCAGCACCAGCACCUCUCAUUGCACCUCCAACAUGUUUAACAGUCCAAGUAGGUUCAGCCUGGUAAAGAUCGAACAAAAAUCGAACCUCUGAAUUAACAAGUCCAAGGUUUGGACCACUUUUCAGACAUAAUUCAUGGAUCCUGAAAUCUUCUCUAUGAACACCACAAAGACCCUGAAGAAGAAUCUCAAGGGCCUCAACAUGCUGUGUCUCAAUAAUCCCCUGUACCACGCACUCCAUUGCAGUUCACUCUAUCUCAUGCCCAAUUUUCCAAGCAUUCCAGGAGAAGACCAAUCGAACUUCUGCUUUGGCUUCUGUGAAAUCAAGUUCUUUGCUUCGAUAAUGGAGCUUCUGGCAGUCGAUAAUCCACAGUGAACCCCCCGAAUCUUGGCUUCGACAGUCAAUGA